UCUCCGUUGGUGAACCAGCGGAGGGAUCAUUACCGAGUUGAAAAACUCCCACAACCAUCGUGAACUUACCUACCGUUGCCUCGGCGGGCGAUGGGCGGGCGCCCCACCAGGGCCUCGCCCCGUCGUCUGCCCCCUCAGCCCCUCGGGGCGGGGGGCGCCCGCCGCAGGACAUCCACACUACGUUUCCAGUGUCUCUCGGAGUACUGUAUCCAAUACAUCAAAACUUUCAACAAUGGAUCUCUUGGUUCUGGCAUCGAUGAAGAACGCAGC
rnacentral:misc_RNA from 1 species